rnacentral:lncRNA from 1 species
GAGGAGGUGCUUUUCUAUAAAUCAUAGCACUCAACUAAUGCUAACACCUGCCUCUUAUUUUGAUUACUUUCUUACCUAGUCUACUUCAAUAGACUACUAUAUACAACCUGCUUCCCUUUCAAUUUUCUUUACUUUUCAUCUUCUUUUUCUUUUUUUUCUUUUUUUCACCUUUUUGGCUUUUUUAUAUUACGACUUUUUUCCAAAUGGGGAUAGUCAAAACCUUAGCUGGACUCAGAAGUAACCAGUCGAAACCCAUGUCUCAUGCCUCAUAAAAGUUGGGAAGAAGGCAUACCUCAUGGGUCGCCACACGAGUUUAGGUUAUAACCAAACCACAUGAAAAUUUUUAUUCUAACAACCUAGGAAAACACAUUGGGGGUGGAUACACA